AACGAACGCUGGCGGCAGGCUUAACACAUGCAAGUCGAACGCAUCCUUCGGGGUGAGUGGCAGACGGGUGAGUAACGCGUGGGAACGUGCCCUUCAGUUCGGGAUAACCCAGGGAAACUUGGGCUAAUGCCGGCUACGUGCGAAAGCAGAAAGAUUUAUCGCUGAAGGAUCGGCCCGCGUCUGAUUAGCUAGUUGGUGGGGUAAUGGCCCACCAAGGCGACGAUCAGUAGCUGGUCUGAGAGGAUGAUCAGCCACAUUGGGACUGAGACACGGCCCAAACUCCUACGGGAGGCAGCAGUGGGGAAUAUUGGACAAUGGGCGCAAGCCUGAUCCAGCCAUGCCGCGUGAGUGAUGAAGGCCUUAGGGUUGUAAAGCUCUUUCGUCCGGGACGAUAAUGACGGUACCGGAAGAGGAAGCCCCGGCUAACUUCGUGCCAGCCGCCGCCGUAA
rnacentral:rRNA from 1 species